GGAAACUGGAGCAGUGGUUAAUCUUCCUGUUUCCAACGUCUGCUGCAGGAGCAGUCCUUUUGGAGGAUGAAGGUGCCAAAUGGGUACUGCUUCAUGCAGUACUCGCAUGCCCUGUUUAUACCCUCAGUCGCCUUCGAAAUAACCUCUUAGAUAACAAAGCUUAUGUGAACAUUGAGUAGAGCUGCAGAAUUCAGAAUUACAGGCCCUGGUUCAAGGAGCUUCAAACACAAGAGCGAUAUCAGUUCCACGCCGCCAAAGGCUGGGAGUUUUCUGGAAGGGAAGGCUUGAGGCUAUUACUCUUCCCGUGACAACAACAUUUGCUCCCGUGUUCUGAGGAAAAUGGCCUUUCUGAAAACGAUUUAUCUCAAGGUCACCACCUUAGAAGCAGAGACAGAAAAUGGACCCCUCUGUCUGCAAUGGUAAAAUGGAAAUAAUAGAUCAUGGGAGGACCUCAUUCUGAGGAAUCCGCAGGCAGGGAGUCUCCUUUCCACCUUGACAUGAAUGUGCUCCGUGGGUCCUCAUAGACCUGGUGAGGACUCAAUGAAGUGACACCUGAAUGAGAGUAGCCAAGCCAGUCACUAACUAGAAAAGGAUCUGCGACUUGUUUUUUUACCAAAACGUUUAUGCACACUUCCCUUCAAGGAGGUACGGAACAAACAACAAACAAAUAAACAAACAAAAAUGGCAUUGCUGUCCAUCUGCUCCCAACAGCUCCUCAGCUAGACUGUCCCUUAUAUGUGAGCUUCACCGAGUCUGGGAUGGUCAGACUGGAAGAACGAAUGACACCAGUCAGAGAUUCUCUGGAGUACAGGGACUAGAAAUGGUGCGAACACAUAGAACAGUCUUCCUCCAAAUACAUGCCUUGAAGAAGCCUGGUUUGCCCAAAGAUAUGGAUACUGAGGACCCAAUUGUUUAUUUUGUCCCAACCACCCUGGAGCAGUAUUUUUGGAAAACGGUAAAUCAUCCCAAAAUGGAAGUGUUAUUCCCAUGUCACAGGGAUGCCCACUUUCUAUAAAUUCCUUAAGACAUCUCUAUUUUGGAAGUCUGGUAAGCAUUCUGCGUACACACACCCAGCUUGCGGGACACACUGAGCCUAGGGAUGGCCUUUGAAGGAGUAGAACCAGAUCCAUCCUUCAUGGGACAUACCCCAUCCUGGUUUUUCACCUUACAAUGUUAUCUACAUUGUACACACCUGCCCGCCAGAGCAUGCAAUAGCAAGUUUAGGAUGUGCCCAGGUUAUGAGCCCUGCUAUUUUAAGGACCAAACUUCUCCCAUGCAGUACAUACACAGAUGUUCCCAUCUCUAGAGCACUCUCUGCUUCUUACCAUUCCAUGCCGGCCCUGUUGAUCUCCUCCCACCAGCACUCAGUGGGCUCCCCCAGGCUUUGGGGUGUAGGCAUGCAGGCAUAGUUCCAUUGUCUGUCAGAGCCUUCCUUCUUGCUAAAGAUGCUCCUCACAGCUACCACCACUUGCCCGUGGGGACACUGGUAGCUGAAGCCUUGGCGGUUAAGAUUCACCCAUCCAUCAUCACCGUAGUCCUGGUACUGCUGGUAUGGGUACCCGUAGCCACCAUACUGGCCCCAGGCUGUGGUCACCAGUGGCAGAAGAACCCACAGAAGAGUGAGGUCCAUACUGCCCGGCUUCUGGCAAAAAAAAUGUCACCCUCAGUUUGCUGGGCUGACUUUAUACAGCUGCCGCUGACAUGUGGUUCCCAGAUGUGGGUGAACUGGAUCCAACUGCAGUGUGUCAUUGCUCAAGCAAAAGCUUUUCCACGCUGAGAAACUGGCCUUGCUUGCGUCCAGCUUGUUUUAAGGUGGAAUUCUAUGAACAUGCAAGGAACAUGUAAAUCAAGGAAAUCUCCCCAGAGAAUCACUUCACGGAGAGGGACCAGAGGCAGCUGCUCCACUCUGCUCAGAAACACCUGAGAAAGACCCCCUCAAUUGCCUACCUAUCCUUCCCUCAUCUCUCGGCAUGCUGCCCCUCUGCCACGCCCCUUCUUACUAGCAAACCAGGUAUCUGGUAGCUGUUCUCCUGCUUAGCUCUCUAGAAUUAUACGGAAAUCCAGGCGGAGAUUUCAAAACACAAACGUUGAUAAGUUAAAGGAACUCAACCUUUAGAUUUCUGCAAACCUAGGUGCCUGGAUUCUUUUUAUGUUCUUAGUCCGUCUUUUAAUUGGGGGUAGAAGCAGAUGAUCUGUCUUCAGGUCUACUGUUAAAAUGUCUAACGUUCAGGUAGAAGUGCUAUUGGUCCAUGGAGAGAGCAGCGGGGCGUUAUCUCUGCUUCAGCAUCUGCCUGAGCUGCUGAAAGUGGUCCCUUCAGCUCUGGCUUAAGUAUGGAACUGGUUAAGCUCAAAUGAAUGGUAAGUUUUUUCAGCUGGCACUUUCAAACUUUACAUUGACUUUUCUGUUUGUUGAGGUGAAGUGUAUAAAAUAAAGGCCAGCUUUUCAACUGUGUAGCAUACAGUCCUGCAGGCAGCUCUGAAAUCAUGCUAUAGAGUAGACUGGAUAGUCCAGAGCACCUCCUCAUAGCCCUCUGCAUCCUCUUUGUUCCCGAUACCUAGUUCUGCUACCCAACAAUCGGAUGUUCGUCUCUACAGUUUUGCCUGUUCCAGAUUGUUAAUAACUGGGGUCACACCACACGGGUCAGUCUCUGUUACCCCUGCUUUUGAGACUCGACUGUGCUGCCAGUCACUGACCUCUUGUAAUUGCUGAGAAGGGUUCCACAGUAUGGGUGUCCUGUUCAAUGGUAUCAUCUGAAGCACGUGUGGAAUAUCUCAUUUGUAAAAAUUUAUAUAUAACUAUGCAUAAGUGCUUACGAAUAAAAUUUCUAUAAGUGCA